UCAGCAGUCCCAAAAUAUUAGUCAAUGCUCGAAAGAGUGAACUAGCUAACUGAAAUCAAUUAUAUUAAUUGAUAACAUAAGGGAAAAUAAUGAUAUUACCUUAUUAUUAGUGUCGUCCAAAUCUGGUGCCAGAAGACUCGGUAAGGCCAGAGACACAAAUGUUAAUCGUCUUAAUCAGGCGUAAAGGGUUUGUAGGCGGCUUUAAAUUUACUUAAAAAAAAAAUAAAUAAAUAAAUAAAUUUAAAAUUAAUAAUUAAAGAAUAAAUAAAUAAAUUAAAAUAAAUAAGUAAAGAAUAAAAGCUAGAAUCAAAUAGAGGAUAUAUGAAAGAAUGCUUAGAGUAGGUCUGAUAUCCUUAUAUACUAAGUAGAAUAUUAAAGGCGAAAGCUUUUUUCCAUUAAUGAUUGACGCUCAGAAACGAAGGUGAGGAUAGGAAAUAGGAUUAGAUACCCAGAAUACUCCUCUCUGUCAACGAUGAAUGGUAGUUAUUAGUAACCAAAUUUAUUAAUGGUAAUGUUAACACGAUAACCAUUCCGCCUUGUGAGUACAACUGCAAAGUUGAAAACAAAAAAAUUAGUCGGUUUCGGAGCAAACGAAGUGAAGCAUGUUAUUUAAUUCGAUAAAUCCGCAAA
rnacentral:rRNA from 1 species